GACGAACGCUGGCGGCGUGCUUAACACAUGCAAGUCGAGCGGAGCGGCGAACGGGUGAGUAACGCGUGAGUAACUGCCCCCCUCUCUGGGAUAACAGUUGGAAACGGCUGCUAAUAACGGAUAGUGGGGGAUGACUCGCGUCCGAUCAGCUUUUUGGUGGGGUAGUGGCCUACCAAGGGGACGACGGGGAGCCGGCCUGAGAGGCCGACCGGCCACAUUGGGCUGAGAUACGGCCCAAACUCCUACGGGAGGGAACAGUGGGGGAUAUUGCGCAAUGGGCGAAAGGCUGAUGCAGCGACGCCGCGUGGGGGAUGAAGUCUUUCGGGUUGUAAACCUCUUUCGCUAUCGAAAGGGUAGGUGGAGAAGAAGCGCCGGCUAACUACGUGCCAGCCGCCGCGGUAAUUC
rnacentral:rRNA from 1 species